rnacentral:rRNA from 1 species
GACGAACGCUGGCGGCGUGCUUAACACAUGCAAGUCGAACGAUGAAGCCGGAGCUUGCUCUGGUGAAUUAGUGGCGAACGGGUGAGUAACACGUGAGUAACCUGCCCUUGACUCUGGGAUAACUGCGGGAAACUGUAGCUAAUACCGGAUACGACCCUCGGCGGCAUCGCCAAGGGGUGGAAAGAAUUUCGGUCAAGGAUGGACUCGCGGCCUAUCAGCUAGUUGGUGAGGUAACGGCGCAGCAAGGCGACGACGGGUAGCCGGCCUGAGAGGGUGAACGGCCACCCUGGGAAUGAGACACGGCCGAGACUCCGACGGGAGGCAGCAGUGGGGAAUAUUGCACAAUGGGCGCAAGCCUGAUGCAGCAACGCCGCGUGAGGGAUGACGGCCUUCGGGUUGUAAACCUCUUUUAGUAGGGAAGAAGCGAAAGUGACGGUACCUGCAGAAAAAGCACCGGCUAACUACGUGCCAGCCGCCGCCGUAA